AGAAUCAACGCUGGCGGCGUGCCUAACACAUGCAAGUCGAACGCGGUUACCCCGCAAGGGGUAACUGAGUGGCAAACGGGUGAGUAACACGUGGGUGACCUGCCUCUGAGUGGGGGAUAACGUUCGAAAGGAACGCUAAUACCGCAUGACAUCCUGCCUUUGGACAGGCGGAGAUCAAAGCUGGGGAUCGCAAGACCUGGCGCUUGGAGAGGGGCCCGCGUCCGAUUAGCUAGUUGGUGAGGUAACGGCUCACCAAGGCGACGAUCGGUA
rnacentral:rRNA from 1 species